rnacentral:rRNA from 1 species
UACGUAGGGUGCAAGCGUUACUCGGAAUUACUGGGCGUAAAGCGUGCGCAGGCGGUUUUGUAAGUUUGUCGUGAAAUCCCCGGGCUCAACCUGGGAAUGGCGAUGAAGACUGCAAGGCUAGAAUCUGGCAGAGGGGGGUAGAAUUCCACGUGUAGCAGUGAAAUGCGUAGAGAUGUGGAGGAACACCGAUGGCGAAGGCAGCCCCCUGGGUCAAGAUUGACGCUCAUGCACGAAAGCGUGGGGAGCAAACAGG